UCGAAACUGAAAGUUGAUCGAUCACAGUGGACCUGAACAAAGCCCACGAUGUAUAUUACAGCAGUGAGGAAUAUUGGUCAAUAGCCUAACGGCUGAACCAGCAACUUGGAGGAAUGUAUAGCAGUAGCUAAUUGCACCAGCAAAUAGCUGAUGCAAUAUCGAAUUGAAUAAAAUUCUAGGCAGAGCUAUGAUAAUGACAUUGUCUGUCUAUGUGUCUUGACAAAAUUACGUGCCAGCAGUCGCGGUAAUACGUAGAAGACUAGUGUUAUUCAUCUUUAAUAGGUUUAAAGGGUACCUAGACGGUGAAUCAAGCCUUCAAAGGAACUGAUUUACUAGAGUUACUUGUGAGGGGGUAUUAAAGUACUAGUGGUGAAGAGAUGAAAUUUGUUUAUACCUUUUUUCGAGGGAGAAGUUACGGCACAGAUUUAGGCGAAAGCAUCCCCUUAUGUGAUAACUGACGUUGAAGGACGAAGGCUUUGUAUCGCGAACAGGAUUAGAUACCCCAGUAGUCAAAGCAGAAAAUGAUGAAUGUCAUAGAUUAGAUACCUGAUUAUUUAUUCUAUAAAUGAAAGUGUAAGCAUUCCACCUCAAGAGUAAUUUGGCAACAUUGGAACUGAAAUCAUUAGACCGUUUCUGAAACCAGUAGUGAAGUAUGUUAUUUAAUUUGAUAAUCCGCAAAAAACCUUACCACAAUUUGAAUAUUUAUAUUUUUUUAUAUUUACAAGCGUUGCACGGCUGUCUAUAGUUAAUGUCGUGAGAUUUUGGCCUUCCAUUAAAUUAACGUAAACCCUUGCUUUAUUUUUAUAUAAAGUAGUUCUCCGCUAUAUUGGAUAAGAUAACA
rnacentral:rRNA from 1 species